rnacentral:rRNA from 1 species
GAUGAACGCUGGCGGCGUGCCUAAUACAUGCAAGUCGAGCGAACAGACGAGGAGCUUGCUCCUCUGACGUUAGCGGCGGACGGGUGAGUAACACGUGGAUAACCUACCUAUAAGACUGGGAUAACUUCGGGAAACCGGAGCUAAUACCGGAUAAUAUAUUGAACCGCAUGGUUCAAUAGUGAAAGACGGUUUUGCUGUCACUUAUAGAUGGAUCCGCGCCGCAUUAGCUAGUUGGUAAGGUAACGGCUUACCAAGGCAACGAUGCGUAGCCGACCUGAGAGGGUGAUCGGCCACACUGGAACUGAGACACGGUCCAGACUCCUACGGGAGGCAGCAGUAGGGAAUCUUCCGCAAUGGGCGAAAGCCUGACGGAGCAACGCCGCGUGAGUGAUGAAAGUCUUCGGAUCGUAAAACUCUGUUAUUAGGGAAGAACAAAUGUGUAAGUAACUAUGCACGUCUUGACGGUACCUAAUCAGAAAGCCACGGCUAACCACGUG